CAGGAAGCCGGUGUGAAUCCGGCACGGUCCCGCCACUGUGACCAGGGCCGUCGCGCGAGCGACGGCCUGGAAGCCAGGAACUG
rnacentral:ncRNA from 1 species